GUACACUCCUGCGGGAGGCAGCAGUGGGGAAUUUUGGACAAUGGGGGCAACCCUGAUCCAGCAAUGCCGCGUGAGUGAAGAAGGCCUUCGGGUUGUAAAGCUCUUUUGUCAGGGAAGAAACGGUAGUAGCGAAUAACUAUUACUAAUGACGGUACCUGAAGAAUAAGCACCGGCUAACUACGUGCCAGCAGCCGCGGUAAUACGUAGGGUGCAAGCGUUAAUCGGAAUUACUGGGCGUAAAGCGUGCGCAGGCGGUUGUGUAAGUCAGAUGUGAAAUCCCCGGGCUCAACCUGGGAAUUGCAUUUGAGACUGCACGGCUAGAGUGUGUCAGAGGGGGGUAGAAUUCCACGUGUAGCAGUGAAAUGCGUAGAUAUGUGGAGGAAUACCGAUGGCGAAGGCAGCCCCCUGGGAUAACACUGACGCUCAUGCACGAAAGCGUGGGGAGCAAACAGGAUUAGAAACCCCAGUAGUCCCA
rnacentral:rRNA from 1 species